CCUACGGGGAGCAGCAGUGAGGAAUAUUGGUCAAUGGGCGGGAGCCUGAACCAGCCAAGCCGCGUGAAGGAAGAAGGUCCAGCGUAUCGUAAACCUCUUUUGUCAGGGAACAAAGGCGGGGACUAGUCCCCGGAUGCGGGUACCUGAAGAAAAAGCAUCGGCUAACUCCGUGCCAGCAGCCGCGGUAAUACGGAGGAUGCGAGCGUUAUCCGGUUUUAUUGGGUUUAAAGGGUGCGCAGGCGGCCUGUUAAGUCAGCGGUAAAAGGUCGGGGCUCAACCCCGGCGAGCCGUUGAAACUGGCGGGCUGGAGUUGGAGAGAAGUACGCGGAAUGCGUGGUGUAGCGGUGAAAUGCUUAGAUAUCGCGAAGAACCCCGAUUGCGAAGGCAGCGUACCGGCUCCAGACUGACGCUGAGGCACGAAAGCGUGGGUAUCGAACAGGAUUAGAUACCCUUGUAGUC
rnacentral:rRNA from 1 species